ACUGCCGGUGAUAAACCGGAGGAAGGCGGGGAUGACGUCAAGUCCUCAUGGCCCUUACAUCCCGGGCUACACACGUGCUACAAUGGCAGGUACAGAGGGCUGCAAAGCCGCGAGGUAGAGCGAAUCCCAGAAAACCUGUCUCAGUCCGGAUUGAAGUCUGCAACUCGACUUCAUGAAGGCGGAAUCGCUAGUAACCGCGAAUCAGCAGGUCGCGGUGAAUACGUUCCCGGGCCUU
rnacentral:rRNA from 1 species